rnacentral:misc_RNA from 1 species
GAUGAAGAACGUAGCAAAAUGCGAUACUUGGUGUGAAUUGCAGAAUCCCGUGAACCAUCGAGUUUUUGAACGCAAGUUGCGCCCGAAGCCAUUAGGCCGAGGGCACGCCUGCCUGGGCGUCACACGUCGUUGCCCCCCAUCUACUCCUUCGGGAUUGCGGGGGGCGGAUGAUGGCCUCCCGUGCGCCUCGUCGCGCGGUUGGCAUAAAUGCCAAGUCCUCGGCGACGCACGCCACGACAAUCGGUGGUUGCGAAACCUCGGUUGCCCGUCGUGUGCGGUCGUCGCGCAUCGAGGGCUCGAAAAAAUUGCCGGGCUCCGGCUCGGCUUUCAACGCGACCCCAGGUCAGGCGGGGUUACCCGCUGAAUUUAAGCAUAUCAAUAAGCGGAGGA